AUUGUCCCUCUUGAAGUUGUCUUAGCAAGCCAAGGACAAGGCUGUGAUGAUUUCAACAACCAACUAAAAGGCAGAGGAAAUUGAGUGAAGUGGUGGCCUCGUCUGGGGAAAUAAACCUGCUAGUAAAAGUUUCAGUUGUGCAGAGAAAAAAGCUCUUCACGUGCCUCCAAGGGUCGGAUCAGUUUCAAUCCCUAACCUGGCAUGAAUGCAGUCACUCCGAGUUGUCCUUUCCACAGUGUGAAUCAUCAGUGGACAUUGGUCUUUUCUGAGGAGGAGAAGAAGCUUCCUUCUGUGUGUCUACAGCAAUGACCAGUAACUUCUUCCUUCCAGGCAUAUCUCCUCUUUCUUGUCUAUGUUUUGUUUUUGUUUUUUUUUACUCCUCCACUGUGUCCAGCCUUCCUCCCCCCCCGUCCAUACACACACACCUGGAACAAUGCAGAACAUUUCAUGGCCUCCCCUGCAUGAGACAGUAAGGACAACAUCUCGUUUUCAAAAUUAAAAGUGUGCCACAAAUAUAUGAAAUUAGUAUUAAAGCAACAGUAUGGUUAACUGAAAAAUUAACAUGAAAUAGCCCCAAACUACUCAUAGUUAAGGAACAACUUACACUAAGCUGAGAUGAGUGACUGUUUUUAAGAUUACGUGCUGGAAAAUGUGUACAAUCUUUCUUUCUUUUGCUGCAGGGUUGAUGUCUUAUAAAAUUAAUAAUAAAGAACAAACAAGAAUUUGCCUUUUAAGCUACAUAAGAAGUUGCCUAGAGCUCAAGAGUACAACACUUCCUUUUGUACUUAUAAUUCUUAGCAUAAUAAUGUAACAGUUUUUAGAGCACUAUUCAGUUAAGUUUCUGUGGUAUGCUUUUAUGCCUCCACCUUUCCAUUAAUGCAGAGAAGGACUUUGGAAGAACUACACCUCCCUCUGAGUAGGCUAAAAUUCUGUGAAGUAUUUAGGGGUUCUUUUCUUUUCUACAGAAGUCACACACGGGAGAAUAUCUCGUGUGGAUAUACAGAGAUUUACACAAAGUGCUUUCAUUAGCACUAAUAGAAACAUAAAUAGUUAUGUGCCAACUCUCUCUUAACAUUUUAAACCAGCACAGAAUAAACAUUCAUGUCAAACACCAAGGGAGCUGCAUCUAGAUUCAAUAAAGUCUGAAGUAAAUGUUUUCCAUAGUCACAGUUUGAUUUAGAUUAAUUUGAAUAAUGUUUUGAACCUUGCUGUGUAAGUUUAAACUCAGCUUGCCAUUUGAAAGUCAAAAUAUCCCGGCCAUAAGCAAUGCCUAUAGUUCCAAGUAAGAGCUACAGCAGUUUGCAUAUAAUUUACUUUGUAAAGGUCUGUUGGCUGUGGCUUUUUGUUUGCUUGCUUGCUAGAUUAGCUGGAUCUUUGCAAGUGCGCACACGCAAACACAUUUUAUUUAAAACUAAUUAUGGCAUUUAUUUUUAA